ACGGCUCGCUCUACAUCCUCCUCUGACUUUUUCGUUUCUUUCACAAAGUGAAGCUAAAAAGAAAAAAAAAAUGACCAGAGACACCGGAAGUUGUGCUCCUGUGAUGACACGGUGACAGAAGUUAGUGUUUGUUUCAGAGAAGCUCGACUCCGGUAACUGUCACACAUGUCUGCGGAAACUUUUUCUCCUGAGAUGGAAGAAGGUCCGAGACGAAGCUGCCGUUCGAAGACUCUCCGGUUCUACCGUCCGCGGGAAGUGGUGCUGCUCUCUCUCUGAGUGACGUGAUGUCGUGGGGUGAGUUCAUCGAGCUCCGUGAGCUGCGCACAAACAAAGAUGAGACGAAGCCGAUGGACGCUCAUGUCCCCUGCUCGCCGCCUCGUCUGGAAAGAACCAACGCUCUUAGAAUCAGCCCGGGGAAAGUCCCAGACAUGCUGAGCCGCGUGGGCAUCAUCAGAGUUCUGAGCAGUGCCCACGACCCGCAGCCCACAGAGGAGAAAGGAGAGGGACACAACUUCCAGCCCUGCAGCCACGCUCAGCCCACGUGGUGCGACCUGUGUGGAGACUUCAUCUGGGGCCUGUACAAGCAGAGCCUGCGGUGUGUCAACUGUAAAUUCACGUGUCACUAUCGCUGUCGUGCCCUGAUCCAGUUGGACUGCAGCUGGGACGGAGGCUCAGUGUCUGACCAAACAUGUGUCCUGGAACACACCGUAGAAACAGACACCGAUGUGGAUGAGAAAACUGAAAGUGGAAAGCAGGAGUUGACGACUGCAGCCGUUCAGCAGAAGGUGAAGGACUACAACACCCAGAUCAACAGCAACCUCUUCAUGAACAUGAACAAGGACGGCUCCUACACCGGCUUCGUGAAGGUGCAGUUCAAGCUGGCUCGCCCCGUGUCCGUUCACUCCGCCAAGAAAGGAAGUCACGACGGUGGGGGGAAGAAGGGGGCCGGCGUCAAGCGUCGAACCUCGUUCUACCUGCCAAAAGAUGCAUCCAAGCACCUGCACAUCAGCUCUCGCACCUCUGCCCGUGAGGUCAUCGAGGCUUUGCUCAAAAAGUUUACGGUGGUGGACAAUCCUGGGAAGUUCGCUCUGUUUGAGCGAAGCGAGCGUCACGACCAGGUUUAUGUCCGUAAGCUGUCUGACGACGAGAGGCCACUGCGUCUCCGUCUGAACGCUGGACCCAGUGAGAAAGUCCUGACUUUUCUGCUCAAAGAAAAUGAAACCGGAGAAGUCAACUGGCACGCCUUCUCCAUGCCAGAGUUGAAGAACUUCCUGCGUAUUCUGCAGCGUGAAGAAGAAGAACACGUCAAGCAGAUAGUGCAGCGGUACGCUCUGGCCCGCACCAAGAUGCAGGAGGCUCUGGCUGGAUCCACGCCUGGCUGAGACGCAUCCGUGCCGGGGAUUACACGUGCACUUCUUGGCUGGACCGUCCCUUCAAAGAUGACCAGCUGUUGGUGCAUCAGAACAUCCCAGAGAACACAACGCAAAACGCCUCUUAGGUGAACGAGAGAAUGUUCUCCAGCGUAAGACACUGAGAAAGAGAGAGAGAGAGAGAGAGAGAGCUGGCGCUAAUGUGCGUGUGAUGAUGUGAGAGAUGAGAAGUGCCUUACACCUGGAGAGCCUGAUGUGCCUGAGAGUAUGAGUGGAGAGAAAUGACGAUGGCAGAUGAGACUUUGGUUCGACUCCUACAAUAAUGAUCCUGUACUUCAGCUGUGUUACUGAGGCUUUAAAGAAAAUGUGAACGGUGGAACCUUUAACCUUUAACCUUUCGUUAGAUUAGACUACAGUAAUUUAGAAAUAAAAAAACCGACACAAAUCAUUACAUCAUAAUCAAUAAAACAGCCCUUUGAACCAGAUUAAGCCCUGACCCUGAUGGAGCCACCAUCAUCUUCACCUCAUCUUCACAUUUUCAUGGCUGUCGUCCCAAAGUCAAACACAGACUCACUGCUGCAGCAGGGAUUUGGAUUUGUUAUUGGUCCCAGUCUCAAACGUUUGCCACGUCCUCUCCGCACCCUUUGUGGGUGAAGUUUUUUUUUUUUUUUUUAACUAGUGCUUCUACUAGUUAUGUGUGUGUGACAACUGUGUGAAACGAUGUCAAUCUGGUCGACUGGAAACACGAAUGAACGAGUUUACUGCAAACUGUCAUUCCUUUCAUGUUCUUUCCAUCCUGUCUGUCCUCAGAGGCAACUGUUUGUCUUCUAUUUUUCAAUCUUUUCAUCGUCUUCAUUUAUGCACAUAUUUACAUGUUGUAGCUGUCCUGAAAACACAGGACAAAUGUGCACUUCUUUCAGUAAAGGAUUUUACACUUA